GCCUACGGGGCGCAGCAGUAGGGAAUCUUCCACAAUGGGCGAAAGCCUGAUGGAGCAACGCCGCGUGGGUGAAGAAGGUCUUCGGAUCGUAAAACCCUGUUGUUAGAGAAGAAAGUGCGUGAGAGUAACUGUUCACGUUUCGGCGGUAUCUAACCAGAAAGCCACGGCUAACUACGUGCCAACAGCCGCGGUAAUACGUAGGUGGCAAGCGUUAUCCGGAUUUAUUGGGCGUAAAGGGAACGCAGGCGGUCUUUUAAGUCUGAUGUGAAAGCCUUCGGCUUAACCGGAGUAGUGCAUUGGAAACU
rnacentral:rRNA from 1 species